CAGAUGAGGAUAGGGAAGAGGAGAACGAUACGAGCAUGUAUCAUUUCAGUGAGCAUGUACCCCCAGCGAGGGAGAGCAAGAGCUUGAGCGAAGCUCACAGAAACAAUAACAAGUUGCAGAAGUGGUGCAAGAAACAAGAUAGGCUACUCAUCAAGUUUCUGACAGACAAGCUAAGUUGCUCCUCUUCUACCACAGCUAUUCCG